rnacentral:rRNA from 1 species
CCCUUAGAUGUUCUGGGCCGCACGCGCGCUACAAUGAUGAAUUCAACGAGUUUAUAACCUUGGUUGAAAAGCCUGGGUAAUCUUUUGAACUUUCGUCGUGAUGGGGCUAGACCCUUGCAAUUAUUGGUCUCCAACGAGGAGUUCCUAGUAAACGCAAGUCAUCAGCUUGCAUUGAUUACGUCCCUGCCCUUUGUACACACCGCCCGUCGCACCUACCGAUUGAAUGGUCCGGUGAAAUCUUCGGAUUGAGACUUUGAUUUGUUUACUCAAAACGCUGUUUCAAGAAGUUGAUUAAACCUUACCAUUUAGAGGAAGGUGAAGUCGUAACA